rnacentral:lncRNA from 1 species
AGGCAGCCUGAAGAUCUUAUAAGUAAAAACUAUUGAAUAGCCCACACUCCACUUUUUUUGUUUUUGGCUCUUGUAUUUUUUUAUUUCAGAACCUACCUCUCAGAUACUGAAAUUUGCUGAAAGAAAAGUAUUAGAUAAAAAGUAUAAUUAAAUGCUUCUGCACAGUUCUGCACAGCUUCAGUAAUUUUAAUCAGAAAAGUGUUGUAUUCCAGAAGGAGCCAAAGACAGUGUUUACAGAGUAUUCUGGUAAUUGUAAACAGUUCAAACAUUAUUUGACCUAAAUUAGGACAAUUGUGUGUUUGUUGCUAAUUUGUUGAACACUAUCAAUGUUAGCAGACUGGCUAUAUCUUAUAUAGAAUUUAGGGAUUACACAAGAUUCCUCCCUAUUAAAGAGCCAAAUUUCCAUCUUUUAAAAUUUUCUUCUUAAUUUUACAGUUUAUCAAGUCAUUGGGACUAGAAAUUUAAAGAUUUACAAUUAUCAUGUUCAUUUGGGUAGAUUGUGUCAUGAAGAGUUGAUCAUGAUGAGAAUGGCAUGAAAAGUUAUAAGGCAGGGAAUAUAAUGGCAUGGCAUUAAGAAAAAUGGUCUAAUGUUAGCAGUGCCCUGUUUACAUAACAAAAAUUAUAGAAAUUCCUGAGAUUUAUAAUAGAUUGCAUAUGUGCUACCUAUAUUCCUUUUGGGAAGAUGAUAAAUUUUUGCAACCAAACAUUGAGACUACUGAAAAGUUAGCCUAGAUGUUAGUUGAAACAAAAUUCUGCUGAAUUCUGUAAAGAACUGCUGCUUAAUUUGUUAUAGAAUCUUCUGUUGUUAAAAUAAUAAUCUUACUGUAGAAUAUUUUUAUAUUUGGAAAACUUUGAGAAAAUAAAUAAUAUGUUACGGAACUACAGGUUAAAUACAUAAUUCACAUCAGCAUUCUUAGUGUUUUGCUUAGAUACUUAAAUCAAUCUCAGAGCCACAAAUAGAAGGAAGUUUUCAUUAAAAUCUGAUACCAUUGCAUUAAAGUUUAAUCUUUCCAAACCAGUUGCUUUCUUCUCAUUUAAAGUUAUGAUAAUAUCAGAUGCCACUGUCAGUUAAAAAAUAAUAAAUACAACUUAAGCAGCUGACUCAACUAGUCUGAUCCAUUUUGAAAUAGAUUUUUGCCUUGUGGGUCACUUUGGCUAGAAAUAGUUUUGCUGAACAUCUGCUGGUAGGGAUUUACUAUUCUUUUUUCUCUAGCAAGUUGCAUUUCAGGCUAAUUUGAUCAUUAUUAUAAAGCCUUUCUUUUCUUGUAGCAUGAGUUAAAGAAGCCUAAUACCUAAUAAUUUUGGAUUGAAGAGAAUAUCUCCAAACUUUUAAUGCUUAUAUGAUGUACAGCAGCUUUUUGGUUAACAGCACUGCAUUCCUCUAAUUAAUAUGAAUAUAAUAGGUCAUUAACUAGUCCAGAAUCUGAC